CCCUUAGACGUUCUGGGCCGCACGCGCGCUACACUGACCAGUGCAACAAGCAUCCGUCCUUGGCCGACAGGCUCGGGCAAUCUUUGAACGCUGGUCGUGAUGGGGAUAGACUUUUGCAAUUUUUGGUCUUCAACGAGGAAUUCCUAGUAAACACAAGUCAUCAACUUGCAUUGAUUACGUCCCUGCCCUUUGUACACACCGCCCGUCGCACCUACCGAUUGAAUGGUCCGGUGAAGCCUCCGGAUUGGCGCGCACCUCGGUGCCGCCGAGAAGUUGGCUAAACCUUACCAUUUAGAGGAAGGUGAAGUCGUANCA
rnacentral:rRNA from 1 species